UGGCGGCACUAGCGCGGUGGUCCCACCUGACCCCAUGCCGAACUCAGAAGUGAAACGCCGUAGCGCCGUUGGUAGUGUGGGGUCUCCCCAUGUGAGAGUAGGGAACUGCCAGGCA
rnacentral:rRNA from 1 species